rnacentral:misc_RNA from 1 species
GAAUUGCGAUAACUAAUGUGACCCGCAAGAUCUGUGAAUCAUUGAGUCUUUGAACGCAAAUUGCACUCGCCGGCCACUCCGGCGAGUAUGUCUGUUUGAGCAUCGUGUCCCACUCACCCGCGCCAGCUGGCCGGGCGGACUUGGGCGUCGACCCUGAAGCGCGCACGGGGCGGAGCAAUCUGCCGCGGCGCACCGACGAGUCUCGCCUGCAAUGUAGACAGGGCGCGCACAUCACAAGGCCUCGGACCUUCUUGGGCGGCAGCGUGUUAACACACAAGCUGCACAGCCAGAAAGAUCGUCUCGUCGGGCCGUGCUGCAAUCCUGAGAGACCCCGCGCGUGUGGCCUGGAGCCCUGCGCAAAGUGAAACACACACACACAAGUGAUCUCAAAUCAGACAAG